CGAGAUUCAACAUGGAACGAGUGGCGGACGGGUGAGUAACACGUGGGUAACCUGCCCUUAAGUGGGGGAUAACAUUUGGAAACAGAUGCUAAUACCGCAUAGAUCCAAGAACCGCAUGGUUCUUGGCUGAAAGAUGGCGUAAGCUAUCGCUUUUGGAUGGACCCGCGGCGUAUUAGCUAGUUGGUGAGGUAACGGCUCACCAAGGCGAUGAUACGUAGCCGAACUGAGAGGUUGAUCGGCCACAUUGGGACUGAGACACGGCCCAAACUCCUACGGGAGGCAGCAGUAGGGAAUCUUCCACAAUGGACGCAAGUCUGAUGGAGCAACGCCGCGUGAGUGAAGAAGGCUUUCGGGUCGUAAAACUCUGUUGUUGGAGAAGAAUGGUCGGCAGAGUAACUGUUGUCGGCGUGACGGUAUCCAACCAGAAAGCCACGGCUAACUACGUGCCAGCAGCCGCGGUAAUACGUAGGUGGCAAGCGUUAUCCGGAUUUAUUGGGCGUAAAGCGAGCGCAGGCGGUUUUUUAAGUCUGAUGUGAAAGCC
rnacentral:rRNA from 2 species